GACGAACGCUGGCGGCGUGCCUAAUACAUGCAAGUUGAGCGCUGAAGGUUGGUACUUGUACCGACUGGAUGAGCAGCGAACGGGUGAGUAACGCGUGGGGAAUCUGCCUUUGAGCGGGGGACAACAUUUGGAAACGAAUGCUAAUACCGCAUAAAAACUUUAAACACAAGUUUUAAGUUUGAAAGAUGCAAUUGCAUCACUCAAAGAUGAUCCCGCGUUGUAUUAGCUAGUUGGUGAGGUAAAGGCUCACCAAGGCGAUGAUACAUAGCCGACCUGAGAGGGUGAUCGGCCACAUUGGGACCGAGACACGGCCCAAACUCCUACGGGAGGCAGCAGUAGGGAAUCUUCGGCAAUGGACGAAAGUCUGACCGAGCAACGCCGCGUGAGUGAAGAAGGGUUUCGGAUCGUAAAACUCUGUUGGUAGAGAAGAACGUUGGUGAGAGUGGAAAGCUCAUCAAGUGACGGUAACUACCCAGAAAGGGACGGCUAACUACGUG
rnacentral:rRNA from 1 species